rnacentral:tRNA from 1 species
CGCGGGGUGGAGCAGCUUGGUAGCUCGUCGGGCGCAUAACCCGAAGGUCGGCGGUUCAAAUCCGGCUCCCGCAACCA